UACGGAGGGUGCAAGCGUUAAUCGGAAUUACUGGGCGUAAAGAGUGCGUAGGCGGUUCUUGAAGUCCGCUGUGAAAGCCCCGGGCUUAACCUGGGAAUGGCAGUGGAAACUGGAGGACUUGAAUUGAGCAGAGGGGGGUGGAAUGCCGCGUGUAGCAGUGAAAUGCGUAGAGAUGCGGCGGAACACCGAUGGCGAAGGCAGCCCCCUGGGCUUAAAUUGACGCUGAGGCACGAAAGCGUGGGGAGCAAACAGG
rnacentral:rRNA from 1 species